AGGACGAACGCUGGCGGCGUGCUUAACACAUGCAAGUCGAACGGUAAGGCCCCUUCGGGGGUACACGAGUGGCGAACGGGUGAGUAACACGUGGGUAAUCUGCCCUGCACUUCGGGAUAAGCCUGGGAAACUGGGUCUAAUACCGGAUAUGAACUCCUGCCGCAUGGUGGGGGUUGGAAAGUUUUUCGGUGCAGGAUGAGCCCGCGGCCUAUCAGCUUGUGGUGGGUAAUGGCCUACCAAGGCGACGACGGGUAGCCGGCCUGAGAGGGUGAGUCGGCCACGACCGUGGGACCUGAGACGACCGGCCCAGACCGUCCGACGGGAGCGAGCGAGGUGGGAAUAGUGGCUACGAGUGGGACGAAA
rnacentral:rRNA from 1 species